CAAAACUGUAGUGAAUCUUCCACCUUUCCGUUAACUACUCCUCACUCCCUCUCACUAGCAGUAAGUCUCACUGUAAAUUCGGUUCUGCAGGCUAUUUACAGCACUGAGAAACUUUUUAUUGUAUCUGUCCUAGUGCAAGUGAAAUCUUGGUUGUCUUGAAAUCAAUUGUCAAUCUUCCACAACCUUCACAGAAGCUGGAUUUCCUCCAAAGAAAGCAUCUUCAGGUACUGGAUUACAGAUCCAGGGUACAUGGAAAUCCAAAUAUAUCAAGGCCCUCAACAGCUCAAGUCAGAGACUAGAGGGUAGCUGGGAUCUCUUGAGAUGAAACUACCG
ensembl:lncRNA